UACAGAGGGGGCAAGCGUUGUUCGGAAUUACUGGGCGUAAAGGGCGCGUAGGCGGCCCGCUAAGUCGAACGUGAAAUCCCCGAGCUCAACUCGGGAACUGCGUCCGAUACUGGUGGGCUUGAAUCCGGGAGAGGGAUGCGGAAUUCCAGGUGUAGCGGUGAAAUGCGUAGAUAUCUGGAGGAACACCGGUGGCGAAGGCGGCAUCCUGGACCGGCACUGACACUGAGGCACGAAAGCGUGGGGAGCAAACAGG
rnacentral:rRNA from 1 species